rnacentral:rRNA from 1 species
UGCGUAGGCGGGGCAAUUAGUCAGUGGUGAAAUCCUGCGGCUUAACCGUAGAACUGCCAUUGAUACUGUUGUCCUUGAGUAUAGUUGAGGUGGGCGGAAUGUGUAACGUAGCGGUGAAAUGCAUAGAGAUUACACAGAACACCAAUUGCGAAGGCAGCUCACUAAGCUAUAACUGACGCUGAGGCACGAAAGCGUGGGGAGCGAACAGGAUUAGAUACCCUGGUAGUCC